rnacentral:rRNA from 1 species
UACAGAGGUGGCAAGCGUUGUUCGGAAUUACUGGGCGUAAAGGGCGCGUAGGCGGUUGCCUAAGUCGGACGUGAAAUCCCCAAGCUUAACUUGGGAACUGCAUCUGAUACUGGGUGACUUGAGUUCGGGAGAGGAAUGUGGAAUUCCAGGUGUAGCGGUGGAAUGCGUAGAUAUCUGGAGGAACACCGGUGGCGAAGGCGGCAUUCUGGACCGAAACUGACGCUGAGGCGCGAAAGCCAGGGGAGCAAACGGG